GCUAUCAAAGUGUCUCUGGAGUUCAUUGGAGUGCAUCGUACUUGACUUGGUUUGCUAUACAACGCAUGAUAAAUAGCGUUCCAUUCGCCCAUUCCAACCGCCACCCCCAGUUAAAGUACAUCAUUGAUGUGAUACACAUUGAUCUGACGCCAGUGCAAUGCUGCGACGACGUAAUAGGGUUUUUGUUUUGCUCUUGGGCUCCCCCUACUGUUCAGAUGUGUCACUGCCCAUAAAGUUUGUGCAGUGUUGAAGGAAAAAAACAAGUGGGGAAAAAAAGGAUAAAAUAAUAUUAAAACUUAAUAAACGUGAUAAAAUAGGAGUGGCUUGUUAGUUAUAAAUAUGAAUCAGUGGUUAUAUUAAAUAAAACAAAUACUUUGAAUAAAUAUGAAUAAUACAAAUUUUGUCUGAAUCAUACAAUUUAUAAGUUAUUUUUGCGUAUAAAUUGAGCAACACUUAUGACUUAACCAUUUGGGUACUUUUUCUUUCAUUGGCGGAAACAUGCUUCCAUAAAUAUCUUUUUAGUGAUAAGCAAAUUCAAUGUUUCCUAAUAUUGUUGAAUUAUUUAUGAUUUUUGUCUUUAAUUUCCUUCUUUCUUUCUUUCUUCCUUGAGGGUUAGUAGCAUUAAAAACAUUGACGCCUUUGUCCAAAAGUAAUAUUUAUUUUGCACCAAAAUAAAUGAUAUUGGUACAAAUAAAUCCCAGUUACAACAGUGGCAGUGCAUCUCAAUACAAAAGUAAGGCUUAAAAAAGUAAAACAGAUGAAAACCGGAGGCAAAAUAUCAUCAACAGAUCAACAAGACGUUUAACAGCACAGUUUUAAGUUUGGGAGGUGGGGGAAGGACGAUAAACCCACAACAAUGCUUCAUGUGAUACACAACUAAAAACAACACAAAUAUACCCACCCUUUACCAUGGCAUCCAUUCAUUCAUUUUCUUAAAGACAUAAAUAUCCGUGAAAGAACCUUUAAAGCGCAAAUGGAUUUUAUUGAUAAAAGGACAUGCAACACGUACAAAAUAAAAAUAAAAAAAACAUAGGACACUAACACACCAUUAAAACAGUUUCAAUUAAUACAGACCCAUUUUCUCUCAAAAUCAAAAUAUGUACAUAGCAGAUCUGGCAGGGUGCUUGCAUCCAAACUAAAUUCAUCUCCAAGUGUGUGAUCAUUUCAAAUCAGAGCGAUAAAAAAACAUUUCAAGUCAAGUCUUCCACCCAGUGACUGCUGCUAGAGGAUGAGCUCGCACGAAAUGCACUUUUAAAAACACAUUUCAUAUCACGGCUGAACGGAAGAAAGCGCUUUCACGACAACAGACAUCCAUGCUCAACACCGACCCCGACGUACGGCGAGCCAUUUACAGCAAGUACGAGCGCCGCUGUGACACCGAACGAUGACGCCUUCCGGCAUGCUUCUGUGUCGUUUUUGAGCUGCGUCUACGGUACUUUGCAAAGACCGCCUGUUCCGCCUGAGCCAGGAAGCACACAGCUCUGUGAACAACUGUUCAUUCUGAAAAGUGCAAACUACUAUUGACCAGUCCAAAGAAGAGAGGACAAAAACACACUAGGAGCAAUAGCCAAACAUUCACCCUCAAAUAUGUAAAAAAUUAAAUAUGCAAAUACUAUCCAUCCGCCUUGUGCAAACUUGUGUGUAUUCACUCGGCUCAAUUUUGACUGAUUGGUUGGCAUAUGGCUUCAACUCUUAAAAGGCUCUUUGUUUCCCUUUUCACCAUACAAAGCCCCGCCAAUGUUUCUUAUCCGCAGUGGAAAAAAAGGUAAAGGUCUGCGUUUUAAAAACAGCUUUUAGUGUGUGAUGGUGACAAAAUGUUGGAUUUCCUCGAGGCCACAUGUACACGUGUACAUUUUAAAUAAAGCGGAAUUAUUCAAUACAUCGUGUAGCGCGACUAGCUUUGCUUUGGGCUCACACUUUGCUUUGGCUGGGCUUUCGAUGCUUUUGCAGAGGCGGAGGAGGAAGAGGAAGAAGAGGUCGACGACGACGAAGACGAACUCCAUCGGGUCUCCACGCCGGUAGCGUUCACAAAGGUGCGCACGGUGGGCCCGCUGGACUCCAGCACGUCUGGAGUGCACAGUGGCGUAGUGGACAUGGACGCCCCGCCCUGCAGCCAGCUGUUCUCUUUCAGAUCAGAGAGCUUGAGUCGCCGCUCCGGAUCCACGCUCUUUUGCGUCCUCCGACACGCCCUUCCACGGCUCCCCAUCCAAGGAAAAAUCUCCUUCUUUGAUCUUCUGCAUGAUGUCGGCAGCAUAUGAGGACGUCAUCCCCACCUGCUCGCACUGGAAGGGCACCUGGCCUGACAGCAUGGUGUACUGGUGGAACGCACAGAUGGACAUUAGGAGCUUGGCUGUCAUGACAGAUGUUCCACCAUGAGCAAUAUUCGACUUGCCAGAAUGACCCCGAGACUCCAGAGGUCGCAGGCUUUGUCGUAGCCGGCGCUCUCAAAGAGUUCCGGUGCCGCGUACUGCAGCGUGAAGCAGGGAGUCUGCAGGGGGGCGCUGCCUGCAGGACACAGGCGGGCAAAUCCAAAAUCUAUCACUUUCAGCACCGAGUCCUCUCCCUCGUCCGUGAACAGCACAUU